AGCAGAUUCUAGAUAGAAAUAAAGAGUAUACUAGGAGAAAUAGUUCUCCUUUGGGCUCCUUUAGCAGAGGGGAGAAGUUCCAUAGGUUCCUUGAAUGGAAUUCCCAGAAUCCUCUAGGAGAGGGCAGUUAGGAUUGCUGGGCACCCUGGGAAGUGUACUCUCAGAGAAGAGGUGUUUGGAGAGUUUUCCUGAGAUCCCUCUGGGAAGAGGGGAGAGGCUUGACUUGGAAAGUUAACAUCUUUGAUCAGAAGAAAGUUCAGUAGGUUGGUGUGAGUUUUCUUUUCCAAAGAAAGAGAGAAAAGUGACCAACAGAUUUAUUUGGUGAGCCAGAAGGGCCUGAACCUACAAAUCUUCUGAGCUUGCUGUUCUGCCUCAAGUUUUCAUCAGGUCCUGAAUUAAUUUUAAAUCUAUCAAUCAUAAGUGAAACAGAUUUGGCAAAAGCAUAUAAGAAGAAAGAAUUAAAGAAAUGGAGGCAGAAUUUUAAAGCAAAGCAGAUAAAUGGAAUGCGGGUAGCCUCAGUAGGAAAACCAAUAUUACCAAGAGUUUUUUAUAAUCAAAUUUGUCAAGUUAUACAUAGAAAUUAUCUUUUUGGCACACAAGACAUA
rnacentral:lncRNA from 1 species